rnacentral:lncRNA from 1 species
UUGCUGCUUCCCAGAAGUAAAAUCCUGAAACAGCUGCCUUAAAAUAUCUCAACUGUCACCCACCGAGAUGAAUGGAGGCCCUGAUUCCUGAAGUGCUCACACAAGAUCCGGAUGUCAGAGAUACAGCAAGAGGAACAAAAGCAAGAUAAUAUAUGUUUAAGAGUCAAAGAAAAGAGGGGCAAGCAAGAGAAGAAGAAACAAGAGGUGGCUGUAAUACACAGAGGUGCAGGCUAGCAGAGAACUCUGAGGAGUGGUCAUUGUAUAGAGAGAAAGCUGAUCUCCACUCCCCACCAUUGCACACAAGGAUUUUUAAGAAUUGGAAGGACAUUCGAGACACAUUAAAGAAUGAUUCAAAAAACAUUGCCUCAAGUGGUAAGUUUAUUGCUUUUGUA